AUUCAAAAGCAAUAUCCACUAAAACAAGGAUUGAAAA
rnacentral:other from 1 species